rnacentral:rRNA from 1 species
GACGAACGCUGGCGGCGUGCUUAACACAUGCAAGUCGAACGAAGUGGCGAACGGGUGAGUAACGCGUAAUCAACCUGCCCUUCAGCGGGGGACAACAGUUGGAAACGACUGCUAAUACCGCAUACUUCAGACGGGGCUUGCGUCUGAUUAGCUAGUUGGAGGGGUAACGGCCCACCAAGGCGAUGAUCAGUCGCCGGGCUGAGAGGAUGAACGGCCACAUUGGGACUGAGAAACGGCCCAGACGCCUACGGGAGGCAGCAGUGGGGAAUCUUCCGCAAUGGACGAAAGUCGGACCGAGCAACGCGGCGUGAGUGAGGACGGCCUUCGGGUUGUAAAGCUCUGUUAAUCGGGACGCGGUACCGGAAUAGAAAGCCACGGCUAACUACGUGCCAGCCGCCGCGGUAAUAC